rnacentral:rRNA from 1 species
UGAAUACGAGAUGCUACGGCGUCGAAGCAGUGUAUGUCAGACUUCCAAGAAAAGCUCGCAAUGUCAUAAAUAAAGAAUGCCUGUACCAUAACCGACACAGGUGGGUAGGUAGAGUAUACUAAGGGGCGCGAGAUAACUCUCUCUAAGGAACUCGGCAAAAUAACUCCGUAACUUCGGGAGAAGGAGUGCCUUCUUUAAGAAGGUUGCAAUAACAAGAUCCUAGCAACUGUUUAUCAAAAACACAGGUCUCCGCUAAGUCGUAAGACGAUGUAUGGGGGCUGACGCCUGCCCAGUGCCAGAAGGUUAAAGAAGCUGGUUAGCAAUAGCGAAGCUGGUGACUGAAGCCCUGGUGAACGGCGGCCGUAACAAUAACGGUCCUAUGUAGCGAAAUUCCUUGUCGGGUAAGUUCCGACCCGCACGAAAGGCGUAAUGAUUUGGAUACUGUCUCGGAGAGGGACUCGGUGAAAUAGACUUGUCUGUGAAGAUGCGGACUACCUGCACCAGGACAGAAAGACCCUAUGAAGCUUUACUGUAACCUGAAAUUGAAAUUGGACUUUAUUUGCGCAGCAUAGGUGGGAGGCGUUGAAAGUAAUCUUGCGGGAUUAGUGGAGCCAUCAGUGAGAUACCACUCCUAUAAUGUUAGAUUUCUAACUUUGGAUCAUGAUCUGGUCAAAGAACAGUUUCAGGCGGGCAGUUUGACUGGGGCGGUCGCCUCCCAAAUGGUAACGGAGGCGUACAAAGGUUUCCUCUGAACGGGUAGAAAUCGUAUCUAGAGUGUAAAGGCAUAAGGAAGCUUGACUGUGAGACCUACAAGUCGAGCAGGGACGAAAGUCGGUCUUAGUGAUCUGACGGUGCUGAGUGGAAAGGCCGUCACUCAACGGAUAAAAGUUACUCUAGGAUAACAGGCUGAUCUCCCCCAAGAGUUCACAUCGACGGGGAGGUUUGGCACCUCGAUGUCGGCUCAUCGCAUCCUGGGGCGGUAGUACGUCCCAAGGGUUGGGCUGUUCGCCCAUGAAAGCGGUACGCGAGCUGGGUUCAGAACGUCGUGAGACAGUUCGGUCCUUAUCCGGUGUAGGCGUUAGAAUAUUGAGAGGAGCCUUCUCUAGUACGAGAGGACCGAGAAGGACAUACCUCUGGUGUACCAGUUAUCGUGCCAACGGUAAACGCUGGGUAGCUAUGUAUGGAGAGGAUAACCGCUGAAAGCAUCUAAGUGGGAAGCCCACCUCAAGAUGAGUAUUCUCA